rnacentral:tRNA from 1 species
GCGCCGGUGUUGUAAGGCGAACAGCGCUACCCGGAAUGCAGAAAAUGCGGGUUCGAGUCCCGCCUGGCGCA